GUAGGUGGCAAGCGUUGUCCGGAAUUAUUGGGCGUAAAGCGCGCGCAGGUGGUUCUUUAAGUCUGAUGUGAAAGCCCCCGGCUCAACCGGGGAGGGUCAUUGGAAACUGGGGAACUUGAGUGCAGGAGAGGAAAGUGGAAUUCCACGUGUAGCGGUGAAAUGCGUAGAUAUGUGGAGGAACACCAGUGGCGAAGGCGACUUUCUGGCCUGUAACUGACACUGAGGCGCGAAAGCGUGGGGAGCAAACAGGGAUUAGAUACCCUGGUAGUCCACGCCGUAAACGAUGAGUGCUAAGUGUUGGGGGGGUUUCCCGCCUCUCAGUGCUGCAGCUAACGCAUUAAGCACUCCGCCUGGGAGUACGGUCGCAAGACUG
rnacentral:rRNA from 1 species